GUCGGACUAAUACCGUAUGUUGUCCAUUGACGGCAUCCGAUUUGGACGAAAGGCUUGGCGGUGAGGGAUGGGGAUGCGUCCGAUUAGCCAGACGGCGGGGUAACGGCCCACCGUGGCGACGAUCGGUAGGGGUUCUGAGAGGAAGGUCCCCCACACUGGAACUGAGACACGGUCCAGACUCCUACGGGAGGCAGCAGUGAGGAAUAUUGGUCAAUGGGCGUAAGCCUGAACCAGCCAAGUAGCGUGCAGGACGACGGCCCUAUGGGUUGUAAACUGCUUUUAUGCGGGGAUAAAGUGGCCCACGUGUGGGUUUUUGCAGGUACCGCAUGAAUAAGGACCGGCUAAUUCCGUGCCAGCAGCCGCGGUAAUACGGAAGGUCCGGGCGUUAUCCGGAUUUAUUGGGUUUAAAGGGAGCGUAGGCCGCGCCUUAAGCGUGUUGUGAAAUCCGGGUGCUCAACAUCCGGCUUGCAGCGCGAACUGGGGCGCUUGAGUGCGCAGAAAGUAGGCGGAAUUCGUGGUGUAGCGGUGAAAUGCUUAGAUAUCACGAGGAACUCCGAUUGCGAAGGCAGCCUACUGUAGCGCUACUGACGCUGAUGCUCGAAAGCGUGGGUAUCGAACAGGAUUAGAUACCCUGGUAGUCCACGCGGUAAACGAUGGAUGCUCGUUGUCGGCCCUUUGGGUCGGUGACCAAGCGAAAGCGUUAAGCAUCCCACCUGGGGAGUACGCCGGCAACGGUGAAACUUAAAGGAAUUGACGGU
rnacentral:rRNA from 1 species